rfam:Dipodomys ordii contig_18193, whole genome shotgun sequence.
GUGGCUCAGUGGUAGAGUGCUUGCCUUGCAUGCAUGAGACCCUGGGUUCGAUUCCUCAGC